UACGAAGGGGGCUAGCGUUGCUCGGAAUUACUGGGCGUAAAGCGCACGUAGGCGGUCUUUUAAGUCGGGGGUAAAAUCCUGGAGCUCAACUCCAGAACUGCCUUCGAUACUGGAAGACUUGAGUCCGGGAGAGGUGAGUGGAACUGCGAGUGUAGAGGUGAAAUUCGUAGAUAUUCGCAAGAACACCAGUGGCGAAGGCGGCUCACUGGCCCGGUACUGACGCUGAGGUGCGAAAGCGUGGGGAGCAAACAGG
rnacentral:rRNA from 1 species